rnacentral:lncRNA from 1 species
GUGGACAGUUCUGGAAGAAUGCAUGGAAAACUGUGGAUGAUGGGCACCACUGGAAAGGCAUGGGGAGCCUGGGAGGUGUGUGCCGGGGAGGGGGGCCGUUUCCUUUUUUGCUCAUUCCUUGCUCUCUGACUGUUGAAUGGUUACAUGUGCACAAAUCUGUUUUACAUCUCUUUCUCCUUCUUUGUCCUCUAUUCCUGGACAUCUGUCCACAGGAGAGACCAGACAACACUCUAGAAAGGUGGUGAGAGAUGACCUGGGGACCCAUGGAGUGAUCUCUUUGCCAGCUCCUCCAGAAGAAUCAAAGCCUUCGGUGGCUCUCAGAUGCAACAGGUGGCUCAGAGACUGAAAAGAGGAGCCUAGGAAGAGAGCCAUGCAGGGGACACCCUAGGGGCCCCUACCUCCAUCCAGUGACCACAGAUUCCCAUGGCGGUGGCACUGGUGGCACUUGGACCUGGCUAAAUGAUUUUUUAUUUAACCGCACAGCGGAAUAUUAUGCAGUUAUUAAGAGUCAAUUAACCAUCCUUCUUUUCUCCACACUCAGUAUUAGAUUGAAACAGCUGAAGAAGCACUUCUGCAGUCAGGGUCCCCAGAGUGGAGCAUGAAGUCAAGCUAAAACACACCAGCGUGAAUAAUUAGCUCUUGGUUGUGACAUUGUGAGUGACUGGCAUUGUUUUUCAAUUAUUUUCCCAUUCUCAAUGCACCAAUACACUAUUCUUAUUGUAAAAAAUAAACAUUUAUAAAAAGCAAUCUCUUACAUCAAGAGCAAUAACAUAAACUUCUGCAUAAGGAGGUUGGAAGGAAGUAAGAAAAAAUGGUGCCUUGGGGUGGGAUCAUAAACUUUUUCCUUCUCACCUUUAUGGUUUCUCAAUAUUCUGCAUUUGAUCUCUUUACUUUUACACUGGGGCAUUUAUGUUUAAGAUGACCUCUUAUUUUUAAUAGGCAGAGGGAAAGAAAGGCCCAUUUGCUAAAAAGUCCAAGUUUCAGGCUCUCCAAAGCCUGGUCAUGUCAAUUGGUGGAUAUUUCAUGGGCCUCUGUAAUGUGGGAGUCAUUUUGCCCUGGGGGUGGGGAUGGGGACAGGAAAUAGAAAUACAAACCCUCUAAUCAAAUAAGUCGCAGCACAGCUGGAGAGAGGAGAUCUGGCAUCGUGUAGGUCGCCAGGUCUGAUCCUAGGAGUUUGUGUGUCAUUCUAACAGCAAUGACCCCAUGCUCAUAUGUCCAGCUUCAAAGCCACUGCCCCUUGGGACUCACCUCCAUCUCUUAACCAGUUGUGUCCAAGCCUUGGUGUAUUUUCAUUUCUUUUCUUUUUGUGCUGGGGAUUGAACUCAGGGUGACUCUACCCCUGAGCUCUCCCCCAGUCAUUUUUACUUUUUAUCUUGAGACAGAGUGUCUUGCUAAGUUGCUGAGGCUGGCCUUGAACUUGAGAUCCUCCUUCCUCAGCCUCCUGAGUGGCUAGGAUUUAUGCUGAGAUUGUCACUGGGCCUGGCUCUUGGUGUGCUUCCUGUGGAUGCCAACUAAGGUCACUGUGAGGAGUAAGGAAGGCUGUGCGCGAAGCCUGGGCCAGUCCCUCCUGGGUGUGAGCCUCAUGGCCAUCGCGAUACCCCAGGUUUGGGUCCAGCUCUCUGCCGUCCUGCUGUCCCAGAUGUGCCAGUGGAGCUCACACUCACCCUACUUCAGAGCCGGAGUUUCUGCCUCGGCCAGAAGCUGCAUUUAUUCUCCUGCCCUGCACACCCAAGUUUGAUCUCAGCCUCACGCUGUGGUCCCGCCAGAGAUCCACGGAGGUGACUCUGCUUCAGAGGACAUGAGAGGACAGACGUUCCCCUUCUUGCAGGGUGUUGCUGCUUCACCUGCUCAGAAGAGUUCCCCCCAAGGCUGUGUGGUGACACAGCAUCACUUGUCCCCACACCUUGGAUGUGACAGAAUUUGCCUUCUAGCCAGAGAUGCUGGCUUGGCUGGCUGGAGGGCAGAAGGUCAUGACCUGAGAGCAAAAGGAGGCACAGGAAGGGCAGGUGCCAGGAAUAGAUCCCCAGGCUUUUGGUGACAGGAGCCAGGGGUGUGAGCCACAGGUCACUAUGCCACUGGGACAGUCCCCGGAGGGCCUUCGCUGACUCGCUGAGUUGGCAAAGGGGAAGAGCCAGGGUCUGGUGUGCUCAGGUCUGGGGCCACGGUGGCGACAUGGGGGUGCAGGCCUGGUACCCUGAGCACCAGGCCUCCUUGUAGGGGGAGGAAGGAUAUUAAACUGAUGUUUAUCAGAUGACUUAUCUGUCCAUUCAGCAAGCCACUCUUUGGGGACAGUUCUCCUGGGUCACUUUCAUUCAGGACUGCUGAAGCUGCUUUGGGGGCUACACAGGUGGGUAAGACUUGGCCCUAAUCUCAAGAACCUUCUGGCCAGAAGGAAAGAGGGGCAAACUAUGCUAAUCCAUAAAUGGAGGGUUCACUUCAUCUCCCUCCACUCCUUAAAACGUGUCAAUGGACUUUGGUUUCUUUCAGGAAAAAUGCAAACCCUUGCCUGGAAUUGAUGGCUUCUCUCCAGCCGCCCCUGCUCACCUGCUGGACACCCUCCUCCUCCUCCUUCUCCUCCUGCCGCAGCUCCACUGCCCCUUCGUCCAGGAGCCCUCAGCUGAUUUCCUGCAGCCAUAGGCCCUUAGCACAUACGGCUCCCUCGUCCCUCGUCCCUCGUCCCCUGGCUCGUGCCUGCUUACUGCUCUAGCUGGGAAUUAUUGUUACAUCCCUGGAAAGGCUUCUCUGUCCACCUGAGCUGACCAAGUCCUUAGCACACACUCUGACAUCUCAUGUGACAUCCUCUGUAGCCCUAUUCCCAGUUAUAAUCAUUUUGCAUUUAUCUACACAAUGACUGUCUUAAUGUCUCUAUUCUCCACUGGACUAAAAACUCCA